UACAGAGGUCUCAAGCGUUGUUCGGAUUCAUUGGGCGUAAAGGGUGCGUAGGCGGCGCGGUAAGUCGGGUGUGAAAUCUCGGAGCUUAACUCCGAAACUGCAUUCGAUACUGCCGUGCUUGAGGACUGGAGAGGAGACUGGAAUUUACGGUGUAGCGGUGAAAUGCGUAGAUAUCAGGAGGAACACCAAUAGCGAAGGCAGCUCGCUGGGACGGUACUGACGCUGAGGCGCGAAAGCGUGGGGAGCGAACAGG
rnacentral:rRNA from 1 species